GGGCGCGUAGUUCAACUGGCUAGAAUGUCUGCCUUGCACGCAGAAGGUUAUGGGUUCAAAUCCCAUCGCGGUCC
rnacentral:tRNA from 1 species